rnacentral:rRNA from 1 species
CAUGUCUUUUUGUAGUUUAUUUAAAGUCUGGCCUGCUCGAUGAUGAUUAAAUUGCCGCAGUAUAUUAACUGUGCAAAGGUAGCAUAAUAAUUAGCUUCUUAAUUAGGGGCUUGUAUGAAAGGUUGAACAAGAAAAUAUCUGUCUCUAUUAAAGUUUUUAUUGAAAUUUAUUUUUAAAUUAAAAAGUUUAAAUAUUUUUGAAAGACGAGAAGACCCUAUAGAGUUUUAUAUUUAAAAUAAUUUAGGUUUUGGGAUUGUUAAUUUAUUUUUAUUAUUUAGUUGGGGUGACUUAAAGAUUGAUUUAAUUCUUUAAUAUUUAAAGUUAAUGAUAUUUAAUUUUUGAUUCUGUUAAUUUCAAGUUUAAAAAAAAUUACCUUAGGGAUAACAGCGUAAUUUUUUUUAAAAGCUCUAAUUAAAAAAAAAGAUUGCGACCUCGAUGUUGGAUUAAAAUUAAUUUAUGGCGAAGUAGCUUUAGGAUUAGGUCUGUUCGACCUUUAAAAUUUUACAUGAUCUGAGUUUAGACCGGCGUGAGCCAGGUUAGAUUCUAUCUUUAGGUUUAUAUUUUAUUUUAGUACGAAAGGACCAAUUAAAAAUUAUAUUAA